GUGCUCGCUUUGGUAGCAUAUAUACUAAAACUGGAUCCACAAAGAAAAGAUUUGGAUGGCUCCUGUUUAAGGUUGGCAAAAACAAACAAAAAAGUGAAGUGUUGUAU